rnacentral:lncRNA from 1 species
GCUUCUGGACAGGGAGUGGUGACGGGCCAGCUGGGCCCCAGAGGAGAAGCAGCAGCCCAACCAGGAGCCUGGAAGGAGCACAGAGCAAUGGCAGCCCGAAGAAAAGGCCAGUACAGCCUGUGGAAGUCCUCUCUGGACAGCAUGUCCCAAUUAAUGGAUUCUGACAUGGAUUAUGAAAGGCCAAACGUAGAGACCAUCAAGUGCGUGGUGGUGGGGGACAACGCCGUGGGCAAGACCAGGCUCAUUUGUGCCCGGGCCUGCAAUGCCACCCUCACCCAGUACCAGCUGCUCGCCACCCACGUGCCCACGGUUUGGGCCAUCGACCAGUAUCGGGUGUGCCAGGAGGUGCUGGAACGUUCCCGAGACGUAGUAGAUGAUGUCAGCGUGUCCCUCCGCCUCUGGGACACCUUCGGAGAUCACCACAAAGACCGUCGCUUUGCUUAUGGGAGAUCUGAUGUGGUGGUUCUGUGCUUCUCCAUUGCCAACCCCAACUCCCUCCACCAUGUCAAGACCAUGUGGUACCCAGAAAUCAAGCACUUCUGCCCCCGAGCACCUGUCAUCUUGGUGGGUUGCCAGCUGGACCUGCGUUAUGCUGACCUGGAGGCUGUCAAUAGGGCCAGGAGACCCUUGGCUAGGCCCAUCAAGCCCAAUGAAAUCCUUCCCCCAGAGAAGGGUCGGGAAGUGGCCAAGGAGCUGGGCAUCCCCUACUAUGAGACCAGUGUGGUGGCCCAGUUUGGCAUCAAGGACGUCUUUGACAACGCCAUCCGGGCAGCGCUCAUUUCCCGCCGGCACCUGCAGUUCUGGAAGUCCCACCUCCGCAACGUGCAGCGGCCUCUGCUGCAGGCGCCCUUCCUGCCCCCCAAGCCACCUCCCCCCAUCAUCGUGGUGCCCGACCCCCCCUCCAGCAGCGAAGAGUGCCCCGCCCACCUCCUGGAGGACCCGCUGUGUGCGGAUGUCAUCCUGGUGCUGCAGGAACGGGUGCGCAUCUUUGCCCACAAGAUCUACCUCUCCACCUCCUCCUCCAAGUUCUAUGACCUGUUCCUCAUGGACCUGAGUGAGGGGGAGCUGGGGGGCCCCUCGGGGUCAGGGGGCCCCCACCCGGAGGACCACCGGGGUCACCCUGAUCACCACCACCACCACCACCACCACCACCACCACGGCCGGGACUUCCUGCUCCGGGCAGCCAGCUUUGAUGUGUGCGAGAGUGUGGAGGAGGGUGGGGGCUCUGGUCCCGCUGGGCUGCGGGCCUCAACCAGCGAUGGGAUCUUACGGGGCAACGGGACAGGGUACCUGCCCGGGAGGGGUCGAGUGCUGUCUUCCUGGAGCCGAGCUUUUGUGAGCAUCCAGGAAGAGAUGGCAGAAGAUCCACUGACUUACAAAUCCCGGCUGAUGGUGGUGGUGAAAAUGGACAACUCCAUCCAACCGGGGCCCUUCCGGGCUGUUCUCAAGUACCUGUACACAGGGGAGUUGGACGAGAAUGAGCGGGACCUCAUGCACAUUGCCCACAUUGCUGAGCUGCUCGAGGUCUUCGAUCUGCGCAUGAUGGUGGCCAACAUUCUCAACAACGAGGCCUUCAUGAACCAGGAAAUCACCAAGGCCUUCCAUGUCCGCCGGACCAACCGGGUUAAGGAGUGCUUGGCAAAAGGCACCUUCUCAGAUGUGACCUUCAUCCUGGAUGAUGGCACCAUCAGCGCCCACAAGCCCCUGUUGAUUUCCAGCUGUGACUGGAUGGCUGCCAUGUUUGGGGGGCCAUUUGUGGAGAGUUCCACCAGGGAGGUGGUGUUUCCUUACACGAGCAAGAGCUGCAUGAGGGCAGUGCUGGAGUACCUCUACACGGGCAUGUUCACGUCCAGUCCCGACCUGGACGACAUGAAGCUCAUCAUCCUGGCCAACCGCCUCUGCCUGCCCCACCUGGUUGCCCUCACAGAACAGUACACCGUGACCGGGCUGAUGGAAGCGACUCAGAUGAUGGUGGACAUCGAUGGGGACGUCCUUGUGUUCCUGGAACUGGCUCAGUUCCACUGUGCGUACCAGCUGGCCGACUGGUGUCUCCAUCACAUCUGUACCAACUAUAACAACGUGUGUCGCAAGUUCCCCCGAGACAUGAAGGCCAUGUCCCCAGAAAACCAGGAGUAUUUUGAGAAGCACCGCUGGCCGCCCGUCUGGUACCUGAAGGAGGAGGAUCACUACCAGCGGGCCCGGAAGGAGCGUGAGAAGGAGGACUAUCUCCACCUGAAACGGCAGCCCAAGCGGCGCUGGCUGUUCUGGAACAGUCCCUCCUCACCGUCCUCUUCAGCUGCGUCCUCUUCGUCCCCAUCUUCCUCCUCGGCUGUGGUCUGAGAUGCUGCCGCCCUCUUCUGACCCUGCUGCUCUCGUCCCCACUUGUCCUUGCCCCUCUGCUCCUCUGCAUCGCCCCCUCUACCUUCCAGGGACAAAGGACUCACAUAACCAGGACCCCACGGGCAGAGCUGCUCUCACCAGCCAACACAGCUCAGCAAAGAGAGGAAGGAGCCAGGCCGCGUGGAUCAGAACAGGGAGCCCCCCCACCUCUGCUGAGGUCCCGCUUCCAGAAACCGAGGCAGGAGACGACUCUUGGGAGGUGGGGAACAGGAGAAGAGCUGAGGGCUGUGGCACCUUGUCUCUGGGUCAGAGAACCCUAGAGUCAAAGGGAGAACUCCCCCAGCCGCGAGGCUGCGUGUCUUGGGUCCACGGAGGCAGCUCCCUCCCUGGGAGUGGUGGUGCCCAGGAAGGGCCCUUUCUCGGGGGGCCGUGUGUUUCCAUCCACGGACUUGGGGGGUUGCAGAUGUUUUGUGGGCAUUUCCACGUGGAGCCUACUCAAUUCCUCACUGGAGAAGUCAGGGUAGAAAUUAAGCCUUUAGAGCCCAACUCGAGACUUCCACACCUGGGGUGCAGCUGCCAGAGGCCAUGGGUGGAAGGCUUGCCCUCUGCGGGCACCCCUGCCAUGGCUGUGGGCAUCCAGGCCUGAGAAGGGUGGCAGAGAUUGUUCAGAGCUGCAGGUCUAGAAGCAGUGCCUCUUGGUGCAGUGAGAGACUUUUCUCUCCCCCCUCCUUCACUGCUCAGAUUUCCAGAUAGAAACCAAACAAAACAGCUGGAACCGGGGGAGAGAAGGAGGCGGGGGAUGGGGGCCUGGGCGCAGCAAUCCCGUACUCCUCUGGGCCCUCCACCCCCCACCCCACCCCCCCGCCUCUGGUCAGCACAGCUUCUUAUGGGAUAGGGCAAAAUUAGCAAAAAAAAAAAAAAAAAAAAAAAAAA